rnacentral:misc_RNA from 1 species
GAUGAAGAACGUAGUGAAAUGCGAUACGUAAUGUGAAUUGCAGAAUUCAGUGAAUCAUUGAAUCUUUGAACGCAUAUUGCGCUCUCUGGUAUUCCGGAGAGCAUGCUUGUUUGAGUAUCAGUAAACACCUCAACUUCCAUAUCUUUUUUGAAAUGGGAGUUGGACUUGAGUGAUCCCAACGCUUUUCCUCACCGAAAAGUGGCGGGUUACUUGAAAUGCAGGUGCAGCUGGACUUUUCUCUGAGCUAUAAGCAUAUCUAUUUAGUCUGCCUAAAAAACAGAUUAUUACCUUUGCUGCAGCUAACAUAAAGGAGAUUAGUUCUUGUGCUGACUGAUGCAGGAUUCACAAAGACAGGCUUCGGCCGACUUUGUAAACUCGAUCUCAAAUCAAGUAAGACUACCCGCUGAACUUAAGCAUAUCAAUAAGCGGAGGA